UACGUAGGGGGCUAGCGUUGUCCGGAAUCAUUGGGCGUAAAGAGCGUGUAGGCGGCUUGGCAAGUCUGACGUGAAAGCCCGCGGCUCAACCGCGGAUUGUCGUUGGAAACUGCCUCGCUAGAGUCCGGAAGAGGAGAGCGGAAUUCCUGGUGUAGCGGUGGAAUGCGCAGAUAUCAGGAAGAACACCCGUGGCGAAGGCGGCUCUCUGGGACGGUACUGACGCUGAGACGGCGAAAGCGUGGGGAGCGAACAGG
rnacentral:rRNA from 1 species